AACGGCCGUACCAUGCUGAAUAUACCGGUUCUCGUUAGAUCACCGAAGUCAAGCAUCAUUGGGCGCGGUCAGUACUUGUUUGGGUGACCACCUGGGAACACCGCGUGCCGUU
rnacentral:rRNA from 1 species